rnacentral:rRNA from 1 species
GACGUAGGGCGCGAGCGUUGUCCGGAUUUAUUGGGCGUAAAGAGCUCGUAGGCGGCUUGUCGCGUCGACCGUGAAAACUUGGGGCUCAACCCCAAGCCUGCGGUCGAUACGGGCAGGCUCGAGUUCGGUAGGGGAGACUGGAAUUCCUGGUGUAGCGGUGAAAUGCGCAGAUAUCAGGAGGAACACCGGUGGCGAAGGCGGCUUCCUGGACCGACACUGACGCUGAGGCGCGAAAGCCAGGGGAGCAAACGGG